GAUGAACGCUGGCGGCGUGCCUAAUACAUGCAAGUCGAGCGCACGGACGAGAAGCUUGCUUCUCUGAUGUUAGCGGCGGACGGGUGAGUAACACGUGGAUAACCUACCUAUAAGACUGGGAUAACUUCGGGAAACCGGAGCUAAUACCGGAUAAUAUUUUGAACCGCAUGAUUCAAAAGUGAAAGACGGUCUUGCUGUCACUUAUAGAUGGAUCCGCGCUGCAUUAGCUAGUUGGUAAGGUAACGGCUUACCAAGGCAACGAUGCAUAGCCGACCUGAGAGGAUGAUGCGCCACACCAGAACGGAGACGCGGUCCAGACGCCUGCGAGAGGCAGCAGUAGGGAACCUUCUCAAAUGGGCGAAAGCCUGACAGAGCAACCCAGCGUGAGUGAUGAAGGGCUUCGGAUCGUGUGACUCUGUUAUUAGUGAAGACCAGAUGUGUAAGUAAAUCUUCACAUCUUGACGGUAACUAAUCAGAAAGCCACGGCUAACUACGGG
rnacentral:rRNA from 1 species